GACAGAGGGUGCAAACGUUGUUCGGAAUUACUGGGCAUAAAGAGCACGUAGGCGGCUCGUCAAGUCACCCGUGAAAUCCCCCGGCUCAACCGGGGAAUGGCGGGUGAUACUGACAGGCUUGAGAUCGGUAGGGGUGAGCGGAACUCCAGGUGGAGCGGUGAAAUGCGUAGAUAUCUGGAGGAACACCGGUGGCGAAAGCGGCUCACUGGACCGACACUGACGCUGAGGUGCGAAAGCUAGGGUAGCAAACGGG
rnacentral:rRNA from 1 species